GUGCUUGCUUUGGCAGGACAUAUACUAAAAUUGGAAUGAUACAGAGAAGAUUAGCAUGGCCCCUGCACAAGGAUGACAUGCAAAUUCGUGAAGUGUUCCAUAUUUUU
rnacentral:snRNA from 1 species